rnacentral:rRNA from 1 species
GACGAACGCUGGCGGCGUGCCUAAUACAUGCAAGUAGAACGCAGUUGCGAACGGGUGAGUAACGCGUAGGUAACUGCCUCAUAGCGGGGGAUAACUAUUGGAAACGAUAGCUAAUACCGCAUACUGUGAGAUGGACCUGCGUUGUAUUAGCUUGUUGGUGAGGUAAAGGCUCAACAAGGCGACGAUACAUAGCCGCCCUGUGAGGGGGAGCGGGCACACAGGGAAGGAGACACGGGCCAGAGUCCCACGGGGGGGAGCAGGAGGGAAUUUUUGGGGAUGGACGGAAGUCUGACCGAGCAACGCCGCGUGAGUGAAGAAGUGGUUCGGAUCGUAAAGCUCUGUUGUUAGAGAAGCGGGAACUAACCAGAAAGGGACGGCUAACUACGUGCCAGCAGCCGCGGGAAUUC